rnacentral:lncRNA from 1 species
UGAAUAAAUAAUGACAAUAAUUAAAAUACAAAAAAAUCAUUAUGACAAUUGUUUAUUAAGUACUUUUUAGUAAUUUGUUACUAUCUAACCCACUAUGAUUUCAAUUCUUAUAGUUCAAAUAAAUAGUUUAUUUUAAUUUCCAUUUAUCAUUCUCAUUCCAGCACAUUCUCAUUAUUGUCCAUUCUGAUUUCAGUUUAGUUAACGCACCAUAAGAUUUUCCAAUCCAAUGUUAAAGCCAAGAAGCAAGUGUGAGAAAUGCUUUGUAAUAGUGUAUAAGGAUUGAGUUUGGUUUUAUUUAAUUAUAUAGUAAAAUCUCUCUAUAGUGAUACUUUUUAUAAAAAUAACCUUUAAGUAGUCACAAAAAAAUAUGUCCUUUUUUUGAAAUUAGAUAUAUCUCUAUUAUCAAUAUCUAUAUAUUAGAUUUGACAUUCUCUAUUAAUUAAUUAUUAAUGUAAUACAUAUUUUACCUUUAUAUCAUUUGCACUAAGGAUAACUGAGCAAUAUCUAUUAAGUUAUAACUUUCUUAUAAUAAUAAAAUUAGUUUGAUUCCAAUAUUUUGACUAUAUAAAUUUUAUUGUAUAAUGUCGACUUUUGCCCAUUAGUAUCCACGCAAUAUAUUAGCUCCUUGUCAUUUUGUUGGGCCUCAAGCCCAGCCCAAUUCUAACCUGAAGUCUGAUUGGGAGCUCAACCAAAGCCCAGACUAGGCUCAAUAGUCAAUAAAAUGGAUUAGAUUCAAAGCCACAACUAUUUCUUUCUAAGAUUUUUCGCUCAAGCCAUGUUAUAGGUGCGCAAAUAACCUAACCUCAUCUAAAAAAGUUCGGGUGCGGAUCAGGUUAAACUUGAUCCGAUCUUAAAAAUUUGAUUUGGUUAACACUUGAAACUAAAUUUAGGGGUGGACAAAUAACCCGCUCCUACCCUGUGGUAGUAAUUUAUUAUAAUUUUUAUUCAUUUGAUUUCGUAGUAGUAGUUUUCAUUUUUUUUUUUCGAAAUUGGUAAAAACAUAAUACAAUCAGAUAAUUAAUUAAAAAAAUUCUAAUAACUAAAAUAAUUUGUAAAAAAUCAAAAUAACUAAAAAAACUUGACCUAAUCCAUAUAUAAUCAUAACCCGAUUGAAUCCAAACCCAAUUUGAAUUUUUUAUCCAAUCCAAAUAUAGUCGGAUCGAAUCACAUUAUACGUUUGGAUUAAUUUUUUUUUCUAAUCUGAUAGGGUUGACUCGAACCUGAAUUUGCCAACUCUUAAACCAUGUAGUUCAUUUUAUUAAGGUAAACAUCAAUUUAGCCCUACUUAGAAUGACAAUUUUCUAUUUAUUCAUGUGAAAAUAUUGAUUUACCCUUAUUUACUGUUAAGAAAGCAAGAAAAAAAAACAUCAUUAAUGUGUUCUCUAUUUGCCCUCAUCUUUUGAACGAAAAUAUAAGUUAAACUGAAGUCGUCAUACUUUUAGGAGAUAAAUUAAAAAUUAUGAUUCUUUAUAUAUCUCAAAGAUAAAUUGAAGUUUAGCUUUUUGUUUUCAAAUUACUUCUGGCCAUUAAAUUAAAUAUAAAAAAUACUUUACUUCAAUUUUAAGUUUUUCUGACUUUGGGUUGUGUUGUUUGAACCUUGAAGCGUAUUAUUAGCUAAUGAUUUUUUUAUUCAAUAGGUUAUUGAUAUGGUACAUAUCAACAAAUUAUUUUACAUCACCAUUAAUUGAUGUUGAUGUACUUGUCUGCUUUAAAAAAUACACAAAGAAAAAGGUUAAAAAAAAAAAGAGUUUUUUGAAAAACUUAGAGCAAUAAUAUCGUCAACGAAACAAGACUGUCGAUGUGAAGUCUGCCCAUUCGCUGACUUAGAGCAAAUAAAUUUGUCUGUCGAUGUGAAGUGUGGACUUCAUAGUUUAUGUUCAACAUUUGACUUUGGUUUGGACAUUUUCAUUUGGGAUUGAAAAGAUCAAUUCUUCAACAAGACCCCAAAAAGGCUUUAGCUGAUUUUUUUUUUUUUAAAAAAAUUAUUUUCGAAAAGAUAAUUGGUUUGAUUGAAAUCAAAAGACCAUUUUUCAAUAAAUCAAAGAAUUGAAAUCACAUCAAGAUCAUUGCCCCCGCUCCCAUCAAGUAAAUAUCAACCAACCGACCCAUUGUGUGGCUGCGGUCACUUUGAUGAAUUAGAUUGUUGCAGUGAUAUGUUUGUUAGUCCAUUUCUAGUCACUUCCCAUAAAAUGUAAACACGGAUUAUUGGAUCAUCCAAUGUUGAUUUCAUCAAUUUUUAUUUACCAAUGUGCUGUUAUUAUUAUUAUUAUUAUUUUUUAACUAUAACACAACUAGUAAUAGGAUUGGCUACAGGUCACUGUGCUCGAAUGCAAAUAUUUGUAUCCGCACCCAUUUGGAAGAGAAUAUUUCCACCACCGAUCUUUUAUCUACUGUGGGUUUUAACUGAGUAUGGGUCGGGGAUCCUCUGAUAAAAGUUAGAGAUACACAUCGUCUUCUCCUAUCCCCCUAUAUUCUUUCUUUAUUUUAUAAACAUAUGCAUAUAUUUAAAAAAAAAUAAUAUUUUAAAAAAUAUUUUGAAUUUUAUGUAAAUAUUGAUUACAAUUUGAUGAUUGUUAAAUUUAAUUUUAAUCGAUGUAUUAUUAAAUAUUUAAAUUGAAAAUAAAAGUCUCUACUUUGACUUUUUUUUUGUCAUCAUUCACUCCUUUUAAUUAAUGUUGAUUCGAACAUUAUUCUAUUAUCAUUUACUUCCAAUUAAGACAAGAUUUUAAAUAGUCGGUAAAUGUCUAGUCUAUUAUGCAAUUAAAAUCUCCGCGUAAAUAUCUAGAAAUAUCAUAUUAGAUUAUUGUUUUGAUUACUAAGUUGCUAAGUGCUAAUGUUUAUGUUUUAGGGUUUAAAUUUCUUACUCUAAUGUUUAUUUGAUUUAGCUAUUACUUUUAAUUUUUAAAAUAUUUAAAAAAUAAAUAGUCAAUGGUACAAUAAGUUUUGUGAGCAAGUAGGAAUAUUAGUGUUUUAUACUUGUGCCUAACCCACCUAAUCAACAGGUAUAAGAAGUCAUACCUAUACCCGAUCUUUUUUUAUAAAAUAAAGGUAAAUUAGACCCACUAUUCAACCCCAACAUAACGGUCCUCCGAAUCUAUGAGAAUUUUUUACCACCCCUAACUAAUAUCAUAUUGAAAUUUUCUUUACGCCCGCAUAAACAGAAUUUAAACCUCAAAUUUCUUGUACCAAUUGAAAAUUUUUAUCUAAGUAAAUUAUCAAUAAUUAUUCCUCGUCCAUCUACCAGAAUAGAUUGCCUAUAAAUUGGUCAAAUUCUAUUUUAUGUAUUUGAAAUACAUGAAAGUUAUGCAAGUUUAUAAAAAGAAAAAAAAAGGAACAAUGACCUGAAUCAUUCUAUCGAUUGUUUUAAGUAGCAUUAAAUUAAAAAAGAAAAUUGUAUAUAAAACUCUAAUGUAUCAAUUUCAUUUAAUUAGAUCCACUUCACAAGUGAAAUUAGGACUUGUUUGAAAGUUCUAUUUCAAGUUGUACCUAUUGAAAGAAAACUUGGAAGCCAGCUUGGAGAGUGUCCUUGCAGAGGGCAUUUCCUGUUGCUGUUAGCAGAGUGGGUUGGUGGAAGAACGCUCAUUAACUUUUUGACGCAAAUGCCGCACACACAAACACACGUACAUACAAGUUGCUUCAAUUAAAAUGCAGAUAGCAUGCAUAGCAUAGACAAUGGAAUCCGAAUCUCCUUGAAAUUUUUUCUGUUCGCUUUUUGGCUCGGUUACAGUAUAGGGACUAGGGAGAAAGAAUCUACAAUUAUAUCAAUCGAAAAUCAAAUAUCAAAUGAAAUCAAUUGAAGUGAUAAGUGAUCUUACAUACCCACAUUGUCAAAAAAAAAAAGUUGUCUAGUGUUUUCACUUUUGAGCAUCAUUGGGUUUUGCAGGAAAAAAAAGAAAGAAAAAUGCAUGAUGAGCUUGUUGAAGAAAAAAUUGGGAAUCAAUCCAUUUUGUCUUUGGUAGCUUAAUGUCCGUCAAAUUUCACUAAGACCCUUGUACUAUUUAUUAUUUUCCACAUAUUCAUAAGUAUAAUGAUAUUGUCUGUUUAUAUACGCUGUUAAAAUUUAAUUUAGCACCUUACACUUAUUUUUAUUUACCAUACGCUAUAAGUAUUUAAGCAUUUUUUUUGUUCACGUCCAAGACAUAUUAAUCAUCAUAAGAUCAUAGCACACUAAUAUUAAAAAAUAGAUAAAUAUACCCUUAAAUUUAUAUUUUAAAAAGAAAGAAUCGAUUUUAUAAUUUUUUUAGUUUCCUCUCACCUUCAUAAUUUCAUCUUCCAUAAGGAAUCACAACAUUUUUUUUCCUCCUUUCCACUCAACUCCAUCUUUCUCAAGAAAUCAUAUCAGUUGAGUUCAUCUUUCAUCUGGCAUCAUUAAUAAAAUUUCCAAGAAUGGUUAAGAAACCAAAGAAGCACCAGCACACAUCCACCAAAGGGAAGAAAGCAAAGCAAGGAAGAAGUAAAUGAUUAGUAAAUGUUGUUAUGGGAUUUUCAUUAAAGAAGUUAUUAAGAUUUAUUUUUUUAAUUUUAAUGGGUAUGUAUUUUUGGAGGGGUUAUUUUCACCACAAAAAAAAAACAAAAAAAAAACGGUUUAUACCAAUUAAUUUAUAAAAAAAAUUAUUAUUAACAUAAUUUGUAACAAAAUUAGUUUUAAGGACUUUUUUUUUAAGUGAAUCAAAAUUCCGCAUAAACUAUAACUUUUUAAAUCCUCUUGAAUAUUGGUAAGACAAUAAAAAUUUAAAUUAGUUCAAAAUAAAGAAUUUCAUUUUAUCAUUUAGGAAUUUUAGUAAAAAGAUUAUGAAAGUACCUUUUAGAUGCAACCCCACCUUCGUACUAAUACGACAUUGCAGUUUUUGUUAUAUUAGUGAGUUUAAUAAAAAUUCUAUAGGAAGACAAAAAAAAAUGAUAAGGAUAAAUGUCAAUUUAAUUGUAAAUCCAUACGUAAAUUGAUUAUUGAGUUUGCUGAUUAUUGAAUAUAAUUUUUUUUAAUUGGGAUUUAUUAGAAUUGCACUAUUUCAAGGAAUUAAUCUUUAAAACACUUGAUUCUAUUGACUUAAGCCAGCGAAAAGCAAAAUUAGAGCCUCAGAGGUGGUCGACCCGUAUUACAACUACCAGCAACUAAUCUUCUCCUUCCCUUAAUCCUUAUUUUUCGGAGGGGUAAUUUAGUUUUUUUUAUAUGAUACAAGUGAUAAUUUAAGGGUAUAUAAGUGAUAAUAAGAGAUUUUAAGGGUAUACAAACGAUAAUUUUUAAAGGUAAAAUUGUCAAUUCACUAUAGUUUUGUUAAUUUUCAAACGGCAGCUAACAAUUUAGUAGUUGGUAGAUAACUUUUAUCAAUUUAAGGUAAACGAUUGAUACACCUUUAAAAUAUUAUAAUAUUUUUUGAGAAAAGCGCAAAUUUAAGAUAUACUAUUAAUAAUUUCUCAUUCUAAUAUUUUUCUAUAAUUUAAGGAAAUUUUGUCACUUUAGAAUUUAUAAAAACUAUAAAUAGAAAAGAGUGCAUGGUGCUCAAUGAAACUGGUCAGUGGUUAAAUCACCGAAAAACAGGAACGGCGGUACCAUAGCCAGAGCCCCAUUUCAGCUUUGUCAAUAUUUGGCUAGAGAAAGGUGAAAAAAAAAAAUGAAUUGUCAUCAAACAUAUCAAAAGGUCAAAGGCACAAGUCAUUCUGAUUUAAAAUCACCUAGCACAGCGGUAAAUCCACUUUUAAUGAUUAUAGUUUAAGUCAAUUAUUUAAUUAAUUUCUAUACUUUUA